UACGGAGGGUGCGAGCGUUGUCCGGAAUCACUGGGCGUAAAGGGCGCGUAGGUGGCCCGUGGAAGUCUGCGGUGAAAGCCCGGCGCUCAACCCCGGGUCGGCCGUGCGAACUGUCGAGCUGGAGCACUGUAGAGGCAGGUGGAAUUCCGGGUGUAGCGGUGGAAUGCGUAGAGAUCCGGAAGAACACCGGUGGCGAAGGCGGCCUGCUGGGCAGUGGCUGACGCUGAGGCGCGACAGCGUGGGGAGCAAACAGG
rnacentral:rRNA from 1 species